UAUGGAGGGUGCAAGCGUUAUCCGGAUUCACUGGGUUUAAAGGGAGCGCAGGCGGGCUGGUAAGUCAGUGGUGAAAGCCUUGAGCUUAACUCGAGAACUGCCAUUGAUACUAUCAGUCUUGAAUAUUGUUGAGGUUUGCGGAAUGGGUCAUGUAGCGGUGAAAUGCAUAGAUAUGACCCGGAACACCUAUUGCGAAGGCAGCAGGCUAAACAAAGAUUGACGCUGAGGCUCGAAAGCGUGGGGAUCAAACAGG
rnacentral:rRNA from 1 species